rnacentral:misc_RNA from 1 species
CCUAGAGUUGUAGGGCUUUGCCUGCCAUCUCUUACCCAUGUCUUUUGAGUACCUUACGUUUCCUCGGCGGGUCCGCCCGCCGAUUCAGGACAAUUUAAAACCACUUGCAGUUGCAAUCAGCGUCUGAAAAACUUUAAUAGUUA